CAGCAGGCUCGUAGUCGAAGAGCCAAGUCGCUGUUGUGGACACACGUUCUACAUGGCGGAACCGUCUGAUCAUGGACUCUCUCAGGGGAUGCGUUAGGUUGACCCUCCCCUGUGCGCAUCUGAUGCCCAUGCACCUUGAACCUCCUGGCUAGGCUGCUAACUCUUCUUACAUUAACCCAUCCCACAAGCAAAUGGGGACCCAGGCCCCUGCACCUGAAUGCAUCACUGUGAAGUUGAACAUUGUGGAGAACUCACAGGGACGAGUUCAACAAACUCACACAGCGUUCAACCAGCAUCUGGUCUAUUUGGACAAAGACCCCGAGUUCAAAUAAAUCUGUUACUAGUUGAACA